UACGUAGGGUGCAAGCGUUGUCCGGAAUUAUUGGGCGUAAAGAGCUCGUAGGCGGUCUGUCGCGUCGGCUGUGAAAACUCGGGGCUCAACCCCGAGCUUGCAUUCGAUACGGGCAGGCUAGAGUUCGGUAGGGGAGACUGGAAUUCCUGGUGUAGCGGUGAAAUGCGCAGAUAUCAGGAGGAACACCGGUGGCGAAGGCGGGUCUCUGGGCCGAUACUGACGCUGAGGCGCGAAAGCCAGGGGAGCGAACGGG
rnacentral:rRNA from 1 species